rnacentral:lncRNA from 1 species
GAUCUUAGGGUCAUAAAGGAGUGAGUCAUAAAGCCCCCUGGGAGAAGAGCACUCCAGACAGAGAAAAUCACAAGUGAAGAGCCUCUGAAGACAUAUAAGGAUUAAGCAACUGCAAGGCUGUGUGUGUGGCUGACAUGAAGUGAGCUCUGGAGGAGAGGAGAGGAUGAGGCCAGGAGGUGUCUCAGGGGCCAGAUCCAGUAACUGCUGGGCCAUCCAUAGGCCCGUGGCUUUUAGUUUGAGAUGGGGAGCCACCAGUUGGUUCUGAAGAAAGGACUGAAAUGAGCUGACAUUGAACUACAGCUAUAUUGAUUGAUGCAGAGCCACAAAAAAGGACUGAGCACAAGAUCAAGUCUGCGGUAGCUGAGGAGUGCCCCCUACAGACUGACAUGCGCCACGCAAGCAGAUGACAAGGCAGGAGCAGAGCCGCAGAGUCUGCGGAUUCUCAGGCGUCAGUGAGGGAAGGUUCCCUGGGAUACAGAAGAGAAAGGAGACCAAAAGUCCAGUUCUAAAACACAAAGGGAUUUGAGAGUAGAAAGGAAGGUAAGAGAAUGAUGAUGGACAAAUAACUAACCUUUCUUUCAAUAUUGGAAAUGUCUAGCUCUUCUGAAAAUAUUCUUCUUCUAGUAGCAUUAUUUUCUGCUUAUAUCUCCAAAGACUUCUUUAUCUGAAGUGGGGGGAUUUCUCAUCAUUUGUUGUUGGAAAGGAAACUCUUGAAGGGCAGAACAAACAAUAAUCUCUCCUCUCCCCUGACUGAUUCCUCUGUUUCUCUGCUGAGACUCCUAAUAGGGGUGCUAAUUAGUGCCAAUUGUCAUCAUGUUUUGAGAUGUAGACACCUGUCUUCUAAUAACUGGACUGAGACCACUGACUCAUUUCACACAGACCAUCAAACAGACAUCAACUAGUAAUGGCCUAUAUUUACUACCAACCUGGGCUCAAGCCAAGGCCUUCUCCCACGUAACUGCGUUAGCAUUCUUGAUGACAAACAGCAAGUUCAAUAUGUGUUCACGCCCCUCCAAUAAAUAGACCAAUGGCGGUCA